rnacentral:misc_RNA from 1 species
GGCGGAGAUUCUUUGCAAAUGCAGUCUUUGCUAAAGCUGCUCUUGCUGCAACUACUGCUGGUGGGCAUUUGAAUUUCAUGCCUGGUGGGGGCUGAAGAGCUUUUGCAACAAGCGGUAUGACACUGCUAACAGCACGGUAUGACUUUGCAAUUGGGCAGUUCCCCAUUUGUAACCACUCAUUGCCCGCUGCUUCAUGCUGUGAAUUUCCACCCUGCGAAGAAGAUUCUUUCUUGGAUGACUCAAAU